rnacentral:rRNA from 1 species
GACGAACGCUGGCGGCGUGCUUAACACAUGCAAGUCGAACGGUGAAGCGCCUUCCUUUUUGGUGGGUGUGGAUGAGUGGCGAACGGGUGAGUAACACGUGAGUAACCUGCCCCCUUCUUCUGGAUAACCGCAUGAAAGUGUGGCUAAUACGGGAUAUUCUGGGUCUGUCGCAUGAUGGGUCUGGGAAAGAUAUUGUUUCGGUGGGGGAUGGGCUCGCGGCCUAUCAGCUUGUUGGUGGGGUGAUGGCCUACCAAGGCGGUGGCGGGUAGCCGGCCUGAGGGGGUGGACGGUCACACUGGGACUGAGACACGGCCCAGACUCCUACGGGAGGCAGCAGUGGGGAAUAUUGCACAAUGGGCGCAAGCCUGAUGCAGCGACGCCGCGUGAGGGAUGGAGGCCUUCGGGUUGUGAACCUCUUUCGCCAGUGAAGCAGGCCUGCCUCGUUUGUGGGUGGGUUGACGGUAGCUGGAGAAGAAGCGCCGGCUAACUACGUG